UGGGCCAACCGCUUCCUCUCCGAUCGCUCACCUUGCCCAUGUUUUCGCCGCGGCCCGGCUCGACCGAGCGUCUGCAGGAGAUCGCGAAGCUUUGCCUUCGUCGCUGUCGGUAGGGGUAUCUUCUUCGAUUUGUUCCACAUCGCGUCGUACUCCGACGAUGCUGCCAUCGCCAGAUCCCUUUCUACGGCGCCGAAGUAGGCUUGAUUUCACUCAGGGCUGCUGUGCAAAUGCUCCUAUGAUCUCUUUGGCUGACUGGAGCCAGCACUCAGAAGAAUACUCGUAGAAUUACUAUGUGAGCAAGUGAAUGAUAUUUAUGGGCGUUAUUUUCACAUCGUAGUUCCUGUCAUGUUUCUCCAGGAAAAUGUCACACCAAAAUGAAUUGUUGAGAGAAAGGAAGAAAAACCGCAAGUGGUUGAAUGCAAAAUCUAAAUCGGAUGAGGGGACUAGCUGUGGGGAGCACUACCUUGCUCGGAGAACCCAAACCUCCCCUUUGCAAGUAUCUAGAUUACUGCUGAAUUCCUCUGGAACUGUCAUGAACAUUAGGAACAAUUUGGUAACUUGGCCUUGACACAGGAGGUUCCCUGUGAUCAGCGAUGAGGAGUUCUGGUAGCAACAUUACAUCGCAAAGUGAGUUACCUUGAUGGAAUGAAGUGAAAUUGGUGCCAACAGCUUUCCUUAUACGCCUUGCCUUCUAGUUAGCUUUUUCUUACACAUCAUUAUCAGAUACAGGCUGUAUUUUUUUGUGGACAUUUUCUUGCCUUCUAGUUAGCUUUUUCUUACACAUCAUUAUCAGAUACAGGCUGUAUUUUUUGUGGACAUUUUUUCUUCAGAGGAAUAAAUAUGAUAACAUU